UAGCUCAGUCAGUUGAGCAUGGCGCUAACAAUGCCAAGGUCGCGGGUUCAAUUCCCAC
rnacentral:tRNA from 1 species